AUGCUCCCCAUGAAUAAACAUGCUUUUGAUGUGCCAUAUACUUGUUUGCUCAAUUUGUGUCCCCAUCGUGUCAUACAUAACAACUAUUCUUUCAUGAUGGAUGACAUGUUCAUAUACCAUGCCUCAAAUUUCUUUGAGCAUUGCUUAUCUUGUGCUAACUCACACGUGCACAUACACAUCAUGAUGGAUGAUAUGUACAUUUACCACACACACAAUUUCUUUCGUUUGUGUCUCUUUUGUGUAGAUACCCAUGAAUACUUGUCAACCUCGCAAUCCCACGAGUUGACAAAACGAGCUCUAGAGAGCAACGAUGAUUUGGGAUCCCAUGGAUUGUCUUUCCCACCGCUCUCUUCGCGCAAAGGCUUAGCGCAUUUCUUCUACAUGGCCCUCACUUGGCUAUGGGUUGUUGUCCAUUACAUAUUAUAUGCCCAUCUUGCCAUGUUCACUUUGCAUGAUAUGCUUAUUCCUAUGCCUUUGCCAUGCAUUUGUGACCCAUGCUUUGCAUUACACAUGAUGAUUGAUUCUCAUACUUGUAUGUGUAUUUGCAAGCUUGGUGGAGAUAUUGCUUGUUAUUUCCAUAUUCCAUCUAUGACCCAUUCCUAUGAUGAUACUAUGAUCUUGCUUUGUGUUCGUGCUUGCGAUAUGUCAUGUGCAUUGCCUAUAUCCACUAUUUGCUCACAUGAAAUGAUUGCCAUGAUUUACUCUAGUGUGUUGCAUCUUCGCUCCACUAGUUUGCACGACUUGAUUGAUGUACUUGCUUAUGUUGCAUCACCAAUGACUCAUACUUGCUCAUUUCAUGCGGUUGAUGACAACCAUCUACAUGCUUUGCACAUGAUUGUUAUUGCGCAUACGCUCUUUGUUUUGUUGUGUGCAUGUGUAGGAUACUUGGACUUCGUGUCGACUUCCACUUCAUAUGAGUUGACAAUUCGAGCUCUUGAGAGCGAGCCUCAUACAUUCGACCAUGACUCGCUUCUACACCACAUUUCCUACCACUUCGACAUUGUGAAGAACGCACAAGGACAUGCUUUCGAGGUGAUAUCCUUCUAUCUCGAGAACACCCAAACCAUGAGCAUGCAUAUUGUGGAUCAUACUUCAUGUGUUGCUUGCUCCAUGACACCUUGCACACAUGCUAGCGAUCUUGCUUCGACCUAUCAUUACCACAUUGCCAUGCCACAUGAUAUAUAUGCAUUGUGUGUUGCAUCUAGUUCUUCACAUAUGCCAUGUCCCUUUGCUUAUCACAUGCUUGACUUGAUUACCUCACACAUGUUGAACAAUUGCUCUUUCCAUUGUGUUGAGUGCCACGAUAUCUUCACUACACCCUAUGCACGUUAUGCUUGGAUUGUCUUGCACUUGCCCCAUGUGUUUAGACAUUUCACUAUAUUUGGUGCCUACCAUAGACCGUUCAUUGAGCACUUUAUGCAUGCUUGCUAUGACCUUGAGGUAGAUGCUUGUUCACUUAUCACAUAUAUUUGCAUCUUGACCUCCCAUUUACAUGCUUGUUCCCAUGAUGUACUUGAUUGUGCUCAAUUUAUAUGCUCAAAUGCCAUGACACACUUCUUUGUCAAACCAUAUGUUAUGCUUGAUGACAACACUUGUUGGGUGAAUCACCUCUUGAAUGCUUGGUUUUGCUCUUACGACAACCACAUUUGUUUUUCCAAGUGCUUGUUAUCUUUGCUCCUUUUGAAGGAAUUACAAGACGGUGUGACAUUGGAGAGUGCCCAUUUGGAACUACAAGAUGACGAAUGCUUGGUGAUCGUCCACUUCUACACGACGCCAUCAUCUCUUUCCCAUGGUGAUUUGGAUUUCGAUCCGAGGUCGGAUCUUUCCCAAGGGGGAGGGGAUGAUGCGGAGCAUCCUAUGGACAUCACCAUGUCAAGAGUCCAUUUGACAAGUGACACGUGCCACAUCUACUUCAUGCAUACAAAGGUGAAUCAUCUCCUUUACACGUGUCCACUUGUACCCUUCGAGGAUGGUAUACUACUUGACCCCUCUCUCGUGUGCAUACUUAGGUGUGAGCGGAGCUACACAUUCAUCAUGGAGGAGUCCAAGCGCAAGAGAACAACUACACCAUCCAAGACGGAAGCCUGGAAGCGAAGAAGGAAGUGCCAAGAGGAAGGCAGCAGCUCCCAGGCGACCCCGUGCGCACGGGCCCCUCCGACCCCGUGCCCACGGGCCUCCCUGGCUGGCGGUCCUGAAGACCCCGUGCGCACGGGCGUGUACCGUGCCCACGGGACCCCCGUGUCCACGGGCCUCACGGACCCCGUGCGCACGGGCCCUUGCGUCCGGUCCCUGGAUACCCCGUGCGCACGGGCUCCACUUACCCCGUGCACAUGGGGCCCCCUGUGUGAUGCUGCGGGCUUUGCUCAUGUUUUACCAUUUCACCCCCACUUAUCCCUCUCUUUGCCUAGGACUAUAUAUACUCCUUCAUCUCCUCCAUUUAGACUUAGCUAA
rnacentral:rRNA from 1 species